rnacentral:rRNA from 1 species
GACGAACGCUGGCGGCGUGCUUAACACAUGCAAGUCGAACGGAAAGGCCCUGCUUGCCGGGUACUCGAGUGGCGAACGGGUGAGUAACACGUGGGUGAUCUGCCCUUCACUUCGGGAUAAGCCUGGGAAACUGGGUCUAAUACCGGAUAGGAGCCAUUUUUAGUGUGAUGGUUGGAAAGUUUUUUCGGUGUAGGAUGAGCUCGCGGCCUAUCAGCUUGUUGGUGGGGUAAUGGCCUACCAAGGCGGCGACGGGUAGCCGGCCUGAGAGGGUGGACGGCCACAUUGGGACUGAGAUACGGCCCAGACGCCGACGGGAGGCAGCAGGGGGGAAUAUUGCACAAUGGGCGCCAGCCUGAUGCAGCGACGCCGCGUGGGGGAGGACGGCCUUCGGGUUGUAAACUCCUUUCGCUAGGGACGAAGCUUUUUGUGACGGUACCUAGAGAAGAAGCACCGGCUAACUACGUG